rnacentral:rRNA from 1 species
UAGGGAAUCUUUUUCGGCAAUGGACGAAAGUCUGACCGAGCAACGCCGCGUGAGUGAAGGAGGUUUUCGGAUCGUAAAACUCUGUUGGUAGAGAAGAACGUUGGUGAGAGUGGAAAGCUCAUCAAGUGACGGUAACUACCCAGAAAGGGACGGCUAACUACGUGCCAG